rnacentral:rRNA from 1 species
GGACUUUGUCGCCUUUCUAUACAUGCAGUCGAGCGGACAGAAGGGAGCUUGCUCCCGGAUGUUAGCGGCGGACGGGUGAGUAACACGUGGGUAACCUGCCUGUAAGACUGGGAUAACUCCGGGAAACCGGAGCUAAUACCGGAUAGUUCCUUGAACCGCAUGGUUCAAGGAUGAAAGACGGUUUCGGCUGUCACUUACAGAUGGACCCGCGGCGCAUUAGCUAGUUGGUGAGGUAACGGCUCACCAAGGCGACGAUGCGUAGCCGACCUGAGAGGGUGAUCGGCCACACUGGGACUGAGACACGGCCCAGACUCCUACGGGAGGCAGCAGUAGGGAAUCUUCCGCAAUGGACGAAAGUCUGACGGAGCAACGCCGCGUGAGUGAUGAAGGUUUUCGGAUCGUAAAGCUCUGUUGUUAGGGAAGAACAAGUGCAAGAGUAACUGCUUGCACCUUGACGGUACCUAACCAGAAAGCCACGGCUAACUACGUGCCAGCAGCCGCGGUAAUACGUAGGUGGCAAGCGUUGUCCGGAAUUAUUGGGCGUAAAGGGCUCGCAGGCGGUUUCUUAAGUCUGAUGUGAAAGCCCCCGGCUCAACCGGGGAGGGUCAUUGGAAACUGGGAAACUUGAGUGCAGAAGAGGAGAGUGGAAUUCCACGUGUAGCGGUGAAAUGCGUAGAGAUGUGGAGGAACACCAGUGGCGAAGGCGACUCUCUGGUCUGUAACUGACGCUGAGGAGCGAAAGCGUGGGGAGCGAACAGGAUUAGAUACCCUGGUAGUCCACGCCGUAAACGAUGAGUGCU